CAGCAGCGCGGUAAUACGUAGGGUGCGAGCGUUAAUCGGAAUUACUGGGCGUAAAGCGGGCGCAGACGGUUACUUAAGCAGGGUGUGAAAUCCCCGGGCUCAACCUGGGAACUGCAUUCUGAGCUGGGUGACUAGAGUGUGUCAGAGGGAGGUAGAAUUCCACGUGUAGCAGUGAAAUGCGUAGAGAUGUGGAGGAAUACCGAUGGCGAAGGCAGCCUCCUGGGAUAACACUGACGUUCAUGCCCGAAAGCGUGGGUAGCAAACAGGAUUAGAUACCCCAGUAGUCCCUGUCUCUUAUACA
rnacentral:rRNA from 1 species